rnacentral:lncRNA from 1 species
UUCUCCUCUUAUCCUCCAUGCUCCACACCAUUCUUGAAGCUUCCAUGCCAUUUUCUCUUUGUCCACCAUGAAACCAAGUUUUCUUCAUUUUCCUUUCCAUGUUUUCUUUUCCUUUCUUCUCCAAACUUCUUGAGCACUAAAUUUACAUCCUUUAACCCCAAUUUCCAGCACAUCUAAACCCUAGGAGGAGAGAAAGAAAAAGAGAGAAAGGAAGAAAAAGCUUGGUUUUGGUGAUUCAAGCAAGGAACGGUAAGAAUUCUUGUUUUUGGCUUGAGUAGUCUUUGAAAAUGAGUUAAUGACUUAGAGAAAUGUCUUGUGGCUGCAAAGAUUGGCCUGAUUGGAGAAAAAUUGGUAACAUGUAAGCCAAUAAACCCAUGGGUACAUGAAGGACUCAAAGUGGAAAAGGAAAACGAUAAGCUUAACACUAUGUUUUAAAGCUUACGGUUAGUUGAAUAUUGUGAGGAAUUACGGUUGUUGAAAGGAUCUAUUUGCCUAAGCUAGUUGAAAAUUAUUAAGAUUGUAUGGCAUGUUGUUUGCAAGAAAUGAAAAAGGAAUAUUGUGGAUGGAGGAUUGAGAAACAAAGUAUUGAAAGUUAGAUAGAUAACAAUGCAUGUAAACUAGGAAAUAAUCGAGUGAAAGUGAGAAUGAUUGUUGCUGCCAUAUAUGUAAAUUAUGUGUGGGAAAAUAAGAUGGAUUUGGGCAGAAAUUAUUUAGACAGGUUGAAGUAGGCACGUGACAUCAUAAAUAAGUUACCGGUGAUAUAAUCUAAGGAAUUACGUAAGCAAUGGAUAUAAGUAAUUUUAGUAAAACUGUAUUAAGAGUUAAUUGAAGAUUGUUUCAUGAUAGGAUGAAAAAUAUAAAUUUAAGUAAGGAUUAAUUGAUUAAAGUGCUAACCGUAUAUGCAUGUAAUUAAAUAUAUUGAGUUCGUAUUAUUGCUAGGAAGUGCAGAGAUAAGGUUAGAG